UGUACUGCACCGUGUAUGCUGCCCAGGUCUCUUCUGUUCACAGAAUCAUGACAUAUUUCCUGUGGAACUGAUCUGAUAACAGCAAGCUUUGAUACCAGCCUGAUUGAAUUCAUUGCAAAUGGGAAGAUGAAAGAAAACUUUUCAUGCAAGAGUAAAACUACUGAAAUUAUUGUUGAAUUGGCCCUAGAAGCUUCGUUUUCGACUACUGAUUUGAUAAAUUCUGCUUGACGUGUCCCUUGGCCAUGCAGAAUUUUCUAGGCUGUGUCACCCUGUCUUGAUCCAGUCAAGUGCGGCCAGUUGUAUGCAAAGGUAAGCACAGAGAAUUUUGUUGAUUUUUGAGGUGUUGCUUGAUUCUUUACAUUCCUCCC
rnacentral:lncRNA from 1 species